GAUGAACGCUGGCGGCGCGCCUAACACAUGCAAGUCGAACGAUUAAAGCACCUUCGGGUGUGUAUAAAGUGGCGAGCGGCUGAGUAACACGUGUGCAACCUGCCCCUUUCAUUGGGAUAGCCACGGGAAACCGUGGAUAAUACCGAAUACUUCGAGACUUCCGCAUGGAAGACUCGAGAAAGCUCCGGCGGGGAGGGAUGGGCCCGCGGCCUGUUAGCUUGUUGGUGGGGUAACGGCCUACCAAGGCAAUGAUGGGUAGCUGGGUUGAGAGACCGACCAGCCAGAUUGGGACUGAGACACGGCCCAGACUCCUACGGGAGGCAGCAGUGGGGAAUCUUGCACAAUGGGCGAAAGCCUGAUGCAGCGACGCCGCGUGCGGGAUGAAGGCCUUCGGGUUGUAAACCGCUUUCAGCAGGGACGAGGCGAGAGUGACGGUACCUGCAGAAGAAGCACCGGCUAACUACGUG
rnacentral:rRNA from 1 species